CGUCCGUAUCACAUUGAAACACCAGUUCUCAAUACAAUCAUCAAAGUUAAGCAAUGUUGAGCCUGGUCAGUACCUAGAUGGGUGACUGCUUAGGAAUAUCAAGUGCUGUAAG